rnacentral:lncRNA from 1 species
UGAAUCGAAUCAUGUCUAACACAGUUUGAUUCCUCUUUUCAUACACCCUUUUAAAUAGUGGUAUCCUAAGAGAGGUCCAUUGAGAGAGAAUCUAAUUUUUUUUAAGAUAUGUCAAACAAAAAUUUACUGUAAAGGUAUUCACUUCAUCAGUCUAACUGAUGAAUUUUAAUACUCUUUGUAGUUUAUUUUUCUACCUCAUUACAGAAUUGUUUGAACAUUUUAAUCGAUUCAGACUUGUGCUUCAUAAGCA